AACGAACGCUGGCGGCGCGCUUAACACAUGCAAGUCGAACGAGAAGGCGUAGCAAUACGCUUGUAAAGUGGCGAACGGGUGAGGAAUACAUGGGUAACCUACCCUCGAGUGGGGGAUAACCCGCCGAAAGGCGGGCUAAUACCGCGUACGCUUCCGAUCUUGCGGGAUCGGAAGGAAAGCUGUCCCUUGGGGAUGGCGCUCAAGGAUGGGCUCAUGUCCUAUCAGCUUGUUGGUAGGGUAACGGCCUACCAAGGCAUCGACGGGUAGCUGGUCUGAGAGGACGAUCAGCCACACUGGCACUGCGACACGGGCCAGACUCCUACGGGAGGCAGCAGUGAGGAAUAUUGCGCAAUGGGCGAAAGCCUGACGCAGCGACGCCGCGUGGGGGAUGAAGGUCUUCGGAUUGUAAACCCCUUUCGGGUGGGAGACGGCCCUAGACAACUAGGGCGGACGGUACCGCCAGAAGCAGCCACGGCUAACUUCGUGCCAGCCGCCGCCGUAA
rnacentral:rRNA from 1 species